CGGCGUGCUUAACACAUGCAAGGUCGAACGCGAAAGGGACUUCGGUCCUGAGUAAAGUGGCGCACGGGUGAGUAACGCGUAGAUAACCUGUCUUCAUGUCUGGAAUAAUACGCCGAAAGGGGUACUAAUACCGGAUAUUCUUGCUUUUUCAUAAGUUAUGCAAGCAAAGGUGGCCUCUGCAUAUGCUACUGCAUGAAGAGGGGUCUGCGUACCAUUAGCUAGUAGGUGGGGUAAUGGCCUACCUAGGCGACGAUGGUUAGCGGGUCUGAGAGGAUGAUCCGCCACACUGGCACUGGAACACGGGCCAGACUCCUACGGGAGGCAGCAGUGAGGAAUAUUGGACAAUGGAUGGAAAUCUGAUCCAGCCAUGCCGCGUGCAGGAAAGACGGCCCUAUGGGUUGUAAACUGCUUUUGUAUGGGAGCAAUAAGGGCUACGUGUAGUCCGAUGAGAGUACCAUACGAAUAAGCACCGGCUAACUCCGUGCCAGCAGCCGC
rnacentral:rRNA from 1 species